rnacentral:rRNA from 1 species
AACGAACGCUGGCGGCAUGCCUAACACAUGCAAGUCGAACGAGACCUUCGGGUCUAGUGGCGCACGGGUGCGUAACGCGUGGGAACCUUCCCUUAGGUUCGGAAUAACUCCCCGAAAGGGGUGCUAAUACCGGAUAAUGUCUUCGGACCAAAGAUUUAUCGCCUUUGGAUGUGCCCGCGUGGAAUUAGCUAGUUGGUAGGGUAAAAGCCUACCAAGGCGACGAUUAAUAGCUGGUCUGAGAGGAUGAUCAGCGACACUGGGAGUGAGACACGGCCCAGACUCCUACGGGAGGCAGCAGUGGGGAAUAUUGGACAAUGGGCGAAAGCCUGAUCCACCAAUGCCGCGUGAGUGAUGAAGGCCUUAGGGUUGUAAAGCUCUUUUACCCGGGAUGAUAAUGACAGUACCGGGAGAAUAAGCUCCGGCUAACUCCGUG